rnacentral:misc_RNA from 1 species
GAGGAGUCUAACAUGCAUGCGAGUAUUUGGGUGGAAAACCCUUAUGCGUAGCGAAAGCGAAAAGGAGGGAAUCUUUACUGAUGCACCAUCGACCGCGUUUGAUUAUUACUAUUACAACGUGAGUAUGAGCAUGUAUGCUGGGACCCGAAAGAUGGUGAACUAUGCCUGAAUAGGGUGAAGCCAGGGGAAACUCUGGUGGAGGCUCGUAGCGAUUCUGACGUGCAAAUCGAUCGUCGAAUCUGGGUAUAGGGGCGAAAGACUAAUCGAACCAUCUAGUAGCUGGUUCCCUC